AACGAACGCUGGCGGCGUGGAUUAGGCAUGCAAGUCGAACGGAGUUUCUAGCUUUUUCGGAAACUUAGUGGCGAAAGGGUGAGUAACACGUGGGUUACCUGCCCUAGGGAUUGGGAUAACCUGUCGAAAGACGGGCUAAUACCGAAUACGUUCCCGUGGUUUCGAUCACGGGAGGAAAGAUGGGGAUCCGUAAGGACCUAUCACCCUUGGAUGGGCCCGCGGCCUAUCAGCUAGUUGGUGAGGUAAUGGCUCACCAAGGCUAAGACGGGUAGCUGGUCUGAGAGGAUGGUCAGCCACACUGGGACUGAGACACUGCCCAGACACCUACGGUGGCUG
rnacentral:rRNA from 1 species